GGUUUUGCUGUUUGCUGACUGUGGUUACCCUAUAAUCACAGAAGACCAAAGAAGGAGGAGGGGAGGCUCAUUGUCUCUGACAGCUCAAAGAAAUGGAGCAAAGAAUAUUUAUCCUCUACAACAACCCACAGGGGAGAUGAAAUUCUGCACAGCGGAUGCUAAAUCUGUCAAGCAAAUCAGUCUUUAGUCACUGCAAGAUUUUACAGAGAAGCCUGCAACAGUGAAAAUGAGCAAGAAAUAGAGCCACAGAAAUACUCUGCUUGGAAGUUACUUAAGCAGCUGAGGUUCAGAAGGAUCUGGGGGUCUCAGAAUUGGAGGAUUGCCAAUUCUAAGUAAGAGUGCAUGUCACUGUUCAAGACAAUGUCCCUGCAGAUAACUCAGGUGAGCAAGAAGCAGCAGAGCUUGCUGGAUAAGACACUGGAAAAGGUCUCUGAAGACCUGGAUUUUGCUUCUGUCUCCAGCCCAGGCACACUGAGCAGCUGUGGGUGCUAUGAAGCAAUGACAUGGAAAUAUUUAAGGCUCUCCUAGCUUGUCUGCAAGGACACAUCACUUCCAUGUUGUUGGUGGGGCCACAGAGGAUCUAAUCCAGUAAAUGAGGCUGGGACAACAUGAUUUCCCCCACUUUUUUUUUCACUGAAAAUCAAAAUACAAUUAGUAGUGUUUGCCAUGCAAAAAACUAACCAAACUAGCUGUCCUUAUCUGUACUUGUUGGGGUCACAGACUUAAGUAGCAAAAGUAGAUUAUGAAGGCACAAGGAUUUGGGUGGAAUAACUGGAAGUGUGGCAUGGAGCUGGUUAAUGGUCCAAAGCAUGGAUGGCAGCACACCAAGACCUCACCUGUGGGUCACUGGAGG